AAUGAACGCUGGCGGCAUGCCUAACACAUGCAAGUCGAACGGCAGCGCGGGCUUCGGCCUCGCGGGGCGUGGCGAACGGGCGAGUGAUGCACCCGAACGUGCCCUGCCGAGGGGGAUAGGCUGGCGAAAGCCGGACGAAUAUCGUACCCGACCAGAUAGUGAACGCGGGGGUUCGAAAGUCCUCGCGCUUUUUGAGCGGCCUAUGUGGUAUUAGCUCGCUGGAUGGGUAAAGGCUUACCAAGGCGACGAUCCGUAGCUGGUCUGAGAGGACGACCCGCCACACUGGAACUGAGACACGGCCCAGACUCCUACGGGAGGCAGCAGUGGGGAAUUUUGCGCAAUGGGGGAAAGCCUGAUCCAGCAAUGCCGCGUGAGGGAUGAAGGCCUUCGGAUUGUAAACCGCUGUUGUUCGGGAAGAAAUAAUGUGGAAUUAUCCCCGGAGGUGAUGACGGUACCGGAAGAAUAAGCACCGGCUAACUACGUG
rnacentral:rRNA from 1 species